rnacentral:rRNA from 1 species
CACGUAGGCGGCAUAGCGCGUCAGAGGUGAAAUCCCUGGGCUUAACCUAGGAACUGCCUUUGAUACGGCUAAGCUAGAAUUUUAGAGGGGUUAGUGGAAUUCCAAGUGUAGAGGUGAAAUUCGUAAAUAUUUGGAGGAACAUCAGAGGCGAAGGCGACUAACUGGCUAAAUAUUGACGCUGAGGUGCGAAAGUGUGGGGAGCGAACG